CUUUUAAGAUAUUUUCAGGCGAGAAUGUAGGUGUGUAAACUUCAAAUAUCUGCUUGUUUUAUCAAGACAUCCCAUAUUUAGCGACAGUGCUCUGACUACGUCGGUCCUGCCUGACAGCUAGCCGGCUACCUAGCUAGCUGCCGCACUUGGCUGCAAAUGGAUAGCGAGGGGACUCUCUGUCGUUUCACCUCCCCGGUCUCUCGCAAAUGCUCGCAUAGAAUCGGAGUUAUAGCUGGAUGUGGAAAAAAUAACUGAGUUGUUUGGUGGUGGAGCUACAACAGAGGGCAGCUACCCACCGGUGUGUGACAGAAAGGAUAUGCCGCCAACGAGACAUAUGAGGCCGGGCAGGCGAUUGCUAACGCGGUGGUCAAUCAUGGAUCAGGGAAAGUGAAGGCAGGAGCGUGAGGUGAACUGAAUUUCAGAAUCGGAGUUACAGCUGGAUGUGGAAAAAAUAACUGAGUUGUUUGGUGGUGGAGCUACAACAGAGGGCAGCUACCCACCGGUGUGUGACAGAAAGGACAUGCCGCCAACGAGACAUAUGAGGCCGGGCAGGCGAUUGCUAACGCGGUGGUCAAUCAUGGAUCAGG
ensembl:lncRNA